AGGAAACUUACAACAAAGAGUCCCUCCCGACUGUUUACCAAAAACACAGCACUCUGCUAACUCGUAAGAGGAUGUAUAGGGUGUGACGCCUGCCCGGUGCUCGAAGGUUAAUUGAUGGGGUUAGCAUUAGCGAAGCUCUUGAUCGAAGCCCGAGUAAACGGCGGCCGUAACUAUAACGGUCCUAAGGUAGCGAAAUUCCUUGUCGGUUAAAUACCGACCUGCAUGAAUGGCGUAACGAGAUGGGAGCUGUCUCAAAGAGGGAUCCAGUGAAAUUGUAGUGGAGGUGAAAAUUCCUCCUACCCGCGGCAAGACGGAAAGACCCCGUGGACCUUUACUACAGCUUGACACUGCUACUUGGAUAAGAAUGUGCAGGAUAGGUGGGAGGCUUUGAGUAUAUGACGCCAGUUGUAUAUGAGCCAUUGUUGAGAUACCACUCUUUCUUAUUUGGGUAGCUAACCAGCUUGAGUUAUCCUCAAGUGGGACAAUGUCUGGUGGGUAGUUUGACUGGGGCGGUCGCCUCCCAAAUAAUAACGGAGGCUUACAAAGGUUGGCUCAGAACGGUUGGAAAUCGUUCGUAGAGUAUAAAGGUAUAAGCCAGCUUAACUGCAAGACAUACAAGUCAAGCAGAGACGAAAGUCGGUCUUAGUGAUCCGGUGGUUCUGUGUGGAAGGGCCAUCGCUCAAAGGAUAAAAGGUACCCCGGGGAUAACAGGCUGAUCUCCCCCAAGAGCUCACAUCGACGGGGAGGUUUGGCACCUCGAUGUCGGCUCAUCGCAUCCUGGGGCUGGAGCAGGUCCCAAGGGUAUGGCUGUUCGCCAUUUAAAGCGGUACGCGAGCUGGGUUCAGAACGUCGUGAGACAGUUCGGUCCCUAUCUGCCGUGGGCGUAAGAAGAUUGAAGAGAUUUGACCCUAGUACGAGAGGACCGGGUUGAACAAACCACUGGUGUAGCUGUUGUUCUGCCAAGAGCAUCGCAGCGUAGCUAAGUUUGGAAAGGAUAAACGCUGAAAGCAUCUAAGCGUGAAGCCAACUCUAAGAUGAAUCUUCUCUAAGCUCUCUAGAAGACUACUAGUUUGAUAGGCUGGGUGUGUAAUGGAUGAAAGUCCUUUAGCUGACCAGUACUAAUAGAGCGUUUGGCUUAUCUUUAAUAAAGCAU
rnacentral:rRNA from 1 species